UGAUGCUAAAGUUUGGGGUACCAUUAAUC
rnacentral:piRNA from 1 species